UACAGAGGGUGCGAGCGUUAAUCGGAUUUACUGGGCGUAAAGGGUGCGUAGGUGGUUGCGUAAGUGAGAUGUGAAAUCCCAGGGCUUAACCCUGGGCCUGCAGUGGAUACGGGUAGGCUGGAGGCAGGCAGGGGAGAACGGAAUUCCCGGUGUAGCGGUGAAAUGCGCAGAUAUCGGGAGGAACACCGGUGGCGAAGGCGGUUCUCUGGGCCUGUACUGACGCUGAGGAGCGAAAGCGUGGGGAGCAAACAGG
rnacentral:rRNA from 1 species